UACGGAGGGUGCGAGCGUUGCUCGGAAUCACUGGGCGUAAAGCGUACGCAGGCGGCGCGUUAAGUCGGGUGUGAAAGCCCGGGGCUCAACCCCGGAUGUGCAUUCGAUACUGGCGUGCUCGAGUUCGGGAGAGGUAAGUGGAAUUCCCAGUGUAGCGGUGAAAUGCGUAGAUAUCUGGAGGAACACCGGUGGCGAAGGCGGCGUUCUGGACUGUAACUGACGCUGAGGGACGAAAGCCAGGGGAGCAAACGGG
rnacentral:rRNA from 1 species